rfam:Helianthus annuus linkage group 4, whole genome shotgun sequence.
GCCAAUGAUGAAUUAAUCCGUAUGUACGAGAUACGGUGGAUCCAAGACCUUGUUUUACAAGGAGAACCACUUGGUUGAAGCUGUAUUACACAUGAAAUUUCUGGAUUUAACUGAGGU